AGCACCCAUUGCAAAUGGGAAGAUUUGUCAAGCACAUGGGCAUACAUAAAAGAGACUUUUCACUAUGAAGACAACUGACUAGGGGCUUGGAUUGCCCUGGAGCACCCUGGCUACUCCACGCAGACACCCUUUCCAGCCACCGCACACAAGCUGGGGAGCCCAAGGUAGACCACGGCCAGCGCGCCUGCCCAUCAGCCCACUGUGAGGGGCUAAGGAAACCCCCCUGGCAGCCCUAACUCCACAAGUGAUGACACGAUGCAUAAAUGCAAAGGAGAAGAUUCUAAGGGGACAUCCAGCUCUUUCAGAAUACAUCCUAAGAUGGAGACUUACAGUUUGGGAUCAUAGCCUCCAAUCUGAGCACAUGCUCAGAGACUCAGGACUUCGAAUCUCUCCAAAGGCACUUUCUCAUUCGUUUUCAUUACUUGUGCCCAAGAGGCAUAUGUGAUUGUGAAGAAGAGUGUGUCCAAGAUCACACCGCGGGCCUGUGCAC